rnacentral:lncRNA from 1 species
AAACAAGUAAAUGGACCUCUUUUUGACCUGUUUGGAAAUUGUUCUUAGUUACGCGAGAAUGCACUUCAGGCAUGUUAUCUGAGAAUUGGUGAUCAGUUAAUAUAAAUUUUUAAAAAUGUUAAAUUCUCUCCACUUUUUCCCUCUUACGUUCUUCCUAUUUUCGAAGCAGUGUCCAUUUCCAGGGCUGGCAGUGGCAUACACAUAGACCCUCACAGCAUGCGGACCUCAUUCCCUCUAUACACAGUGCCAGAGAUGUAGAGAAGUGUUUGCCCGGGGACUAAAUGUUAGUCACAAAAGCUGAUGCUUGAAAUGAUGUGUUGAACUGGGCCAGCAAUAAGUACUAAAACCUGAGUACAGAUAGAAGUGGCCUUGUAUUCUUUCAUAACAUUUUCUCCUCUUGAGACUACAUGUAG